GUUCUCGAGCAUCAGGUAACAGAGGGUUGGAUCACGGCUCAGAUUGAACGCUGCGAAGGCUUUAUACAUGCCGCAAAGUCAUAACCGGCAGCACGGACUUCGGUCUGGUGGUAAGGAGUGCGGCGAACGGGGUGAGGCCGUAUCGGAACGUGCCUAGUAGCGGGGGAUAACUAAUGCGAAAGCAGAAGCAUUACCGCAUAAUACCUUCGGGAAAGCGGGGACCUUCGGGCCUCGCACUAUUAGGAGCGGCCGAUAUCGGAUUAGCUAGUUGGUGGGGUAACGGCUCACCAAGGCGACGAUCCGUAGCUGGUUUGAGGACGACUCAGCCACACUGGGACUGGAGACACGGCCCAGACUCCUACGGGAGGCAGCAGUGGGGAAUUUGACAAUGGGGAAACCCCGAUCCAGCCAUCCCUGCGUGUGCGAUGAAGGCCUUCGGGUUGUAAAGCACUUUUGGCAGGAAAGAAACGGCACGGGAUAAUACCUCGUGCACCGAUUAUACCUGCAGAAUAAGCACCGGUUGACUACGUGCCAGCAAUGGCGGUAAUACAUGUAGGGUGCGUUAAUCGGAAUUACUGGGCGUAAAGCGUGCAGGCGGCUCUGAAAGAAAGUAGGAAAUCCCAGAGCCAACUUUGAACUGCAUUUUUAACUACCGAGCUAGGAGCGUGCCGAGGGAGGUGAAUUGGUGCGUAGCAGUGAAAUGCGCAGAUACGCGGAGGAACACCGAUGGCGAAGGCAGCCUCCGGGAUAACACUGACGUCGGCGCACGAAAGCGUGGGAGCAAACAGGAGCUUGAUACUCCCCGGUAGUCCACGCCCUAACGAUGUCAACUAGCUGUUGGGGCUUCGGGCUCUCGUAGCAGCUAACGCGUGAAGUUGACCGCCUGGGGAGUACGGUCGCAAGAUUAAAACUCAAAGAAUUGACGGGGACCCACAAGCGGUGGAUGAUGUGGAUUAAUUCAUGCAACGCGAAAACCUUACCUACCCUGAUAGCGUGUCUGGAAUCCCGAAGAGAUUUGGGAGUGCUCUUGGAAAAAACGCUGGAACAUAGGUGUUGUAAUGGCUGUCGUCAGCUGUGUCGAGAUGCGUUGGGUUAAGUCCCGCAACGAGCGGUAACCCUUGUCAUUAGUUGCUGCCGAAAGGGCACUCUAAUGAGAUCGCCGGUGACAAACUGGAGGGGAAGGUGGGGAUGACGUCAAGUCCUCAUGGCCCCAUGGGUAGGGCUUCACACGUCAUACAAUGGUCGGGACAGAGGGCUCAACCGCGAGGGGAGCCAAUCCCAGAAACCCGACUGUAGUCCGGAUCGCAGUCUGCAACUCACCUGCGCAAGUCGGAAUCGCUAGUAAUCGCGGAUCAGCAUGUCGCGGUGAAUACGUUCCCGGGUCUUGUGCCACACCGCCCGUCACACCAUGGGCGGGUUUUACCAGAAGUAGUUAGUCAACCGUGCGAGGGCGAUUACCACGGUAGGAUUCAUGACUGGGGUGAAGUCGUAAAUAAGG
rnacentral:rRNA from 1 species